GCCUUCGUGGAGCAAUUGGAAGCAUGCUCGACGCAUAUUCGAGAGGUCCAGGGUUCGAGUCCCGGCGAGGACA